UAUGUAUAUGUAUAUAUACAAAUGCAUUAAUACACAAUGAUAUACAUAUGGAAAAUCCGAGAAUGGCUAGUACCUAACUUUGGCAUUGAGUGUUAUACAAAUGCCAGAAACGGCCGCCAUUGUAUUGAAGCAAAGGUACCGUCCACUCAUCCUAAAUUCAGGACCAGGUAUUGCAAUAGUCUAGGGUUCAAAGGCCAACAGCUUUUCAAUGCCCUUCUACAAAAAUUAAGAAAUUUGAGCGA